ACUGUCUUUGCGUGAUUCAUUAAUAAUGCUAUGGGUGGAUUAUGAUAGGUGGAGCAAUAACCAGAUGGGAAUUUGCCCAUGAAUGUACCUGUGUUCUUGGAUAUUGAAUAGCAAGUGUAGUUACCUGGGUAUACCGUGACUCCAUCAGGUGGUCUAAUUGGGUGUCCCUGGGUGAUUGGGUAGACCUUUUCCCAUGAUUCACACAUUGAGGAGUUAGUAGUAGAUUGUGCAUAAAGACUCAAGACACAUAGUUCAACAUCGGGAGGUAGAUUUAAAGGCACCGUACCCAGGUGGGGUCUGGCCCCUCCACAUACAUAACAAUUAGUCUUAUUGUGUGAGUUAGCAUUAUAUCUUAUCCAUAGGUUAGUGUCUGAGAACCCAGUUUCCACUGCCAUGGUAUCUUCAAAAGUAGGGUUAGCAAUAGCAACCAUGUCAUGUAAAGUCUUGAUGUGAGGUUUUAGUGGGUUAAUAGUCAUGUGUGUAGUUCC